rnacentral:lncRNA from 1 species
AUAUAUAAAGCCGAAAUUACCCACACCGUAACCCUAACAUUCAGUAUUACAAGCAAUCCUCAAGACCGCAAUAUUCCGUCCAUCAGGUAUCCAAAAAGUGAAAAAAGAAAGAGAAAAAAAACCCUCGCCGAUAUACGGAGAGAGUGAGCGAAUAAAAAACCCUAGAUCGGCAUCUAGAUUUUGUCGAUGUCCUCGUCCUCGAACUCGAUGUAAUCGUCGCCCGCGCCUUCGUCCUCCUCGUCGAGGCCGCCGGCGAUACCCUCGUUGAGCCUGGUGUUCUCCGGAAGCUCACCAUACGCCUUCAGAAGACGAGCCUCGUCGGGCAUGUACUUGAGGAUGACGUCAGCCUUGUCGUCCUGGUAAUCACGAAGACCGACUAGGAUGAUGUCGCCGGCGGCGAUCCAGACCUUCUUGUGCAUCUUGCCUCGGAUGUGGCAGAGGCGCUUGGUGCCAUCGAUGCACAUGGCCUCACAGCGGCCGUUGCCGAG